AAUUCUAUUCACUACCUAGAUAAAGAUCAAUAACUCCGAUCUUAAAUUGAAGGAUCCGAUCAUCCACUUUUAGGAUGUCGUUUGAUUUUGACCGUUCAUUUUAUGUCCGCUUGAUGGACUUUAUUAUGAUUUCAAAAAAUUACAAAAUUUAUUCUCUAGAAGUUUCAAAUACUCUAGAUCAUAUUUAACGGAGUGGAUUAUCGAUUCGGAAGCUCCAUCAUCGAAAACAANUCAGGUACUUUGACGCUUCGUAUACAGGAAAAAUUCCUUUGUAUACGGCGGAUUUGUCGGCGUGCCCGGGGAACGAGAUAUCCGGGGCGUGACAUAUAUAUAUAUAUAUAUAUAUAUAUAUAAGGGUCCAGCUACUAUACUAUUAUGAGUACGAUGCGUUGUUUUCGAUGAUAAAGCUUCCGAAUCGACGAUCCACACCGUUAAACAUUAUUUACAACAUUUAAAACUUUUAGAAAUCAUAUUUUAUAAUUUUUCAACAUCAUUUACCUUAUGAUCAAGAGGUCACAAAUUUGACAAUUUUAACGGCCAGUAUGGAAUACUUACUAGUUUAAUGGUGUAAAAAAAUCGAAAUUUGUUGAAUUUUUGAUAGAAAAUUUUAUUCACUACAUAGAUAAAGAUCAAUAACUCUGAUCUUUAAUUGAAGGAUCCGAUCAUCCUUUUUUAGGACGUCGUUCGAUUUUGAUCGUUCAUUUUAUGCCCACUUGAUGGACUUUAUUAUGAUUUCGAAAAUUUACGAAAUUUAUUUUCUAGAAGUUUCAAAUACUCUAGAUCAUAUUUAACGGAGUGGAUCGUCGAUUCGGAAGCUCUAUCAUUGAAAAUAACUUAUGAGUAUGAGGGUUCCAAUACUCAUAAUAGUAUAGUAGCCACGGCUUAUAUAUAAAUAUAUAGAGCAGGGCUGCUGUGCUCUCAGGAGCACGGAGGCCUCCGUGCUCCUGAGCCGUUUUCGAUGAUGGAAUUUUCGAAUCGACGAUCGGUUCCGU
rnacentral:lncRNA from 1 species